UUACGGCCAUAUCACAUGGAAACACAGGUUCCUGUACCACUAAAGUUAAGCAAUGUUGAUCCUGGUCAGUACCUAGAUGGGUGACCGCUUGGGAAUACCAGAUGCUGUAAG